CGGGCUGUGGCGCAGCUUGGUAGCGCACCUGCUUUGGGAGCAGGGGGUCGCCGGUUCAAAUCCGGCCAGCCCGA
rnacentral:tRNA from 1 species